rnacentral:rRNA from 1 species
UACAGAGGGUGCGAGCGUUAAUCGGAUUUACUGGGCGUAAAGGGCGCGUAGGCGGUGAGAUGAGUGUGAUGUGAAAGCCCCGGGCUCAACCUGGGAAGUGCAUUGCAAACGAUCUGACUGGAGUAGAUGAGAGGGUGGCGGAAUUUCUGGUGUAGCGGUGAAAUGCGUAGAGAUCAGAAGGAACGUCGAUGGCGAAGGCAGCCACCUGGCAUCAUACUGACGCUGAGGCGCGAAAGCGUGGGGAGCGAACAGG